AUUGAACGCUGGCGGCAGGCUUAACACAUGCAAGUCGAGCGAGCGGCGGACGGGUGAGUAAUGUCUGGGAAACUGCCUGAUGGAGGGGGAUAACUACUGGAAACGGUAGCUAAUACCGCAUACCAUCAGAUGUGCCCAGAUGGGAUUAGCUAGUAGGUGGGGUAAUGGCUCACCUAGGCGACGAUCCCUAGCUGGUCUGAGAGGAUGACCAGCAAAACUGGAACUGAGACACGGUCCAGACGCCUACGGGAGGCAGAAGGGGGGAAGUUGGCACAAUGGGAGCAAGCCUGAUGCAGCCAUGCCGCGUGUGUGAAGAAGGCCUUCGGGUGGUAAAGCACUUUAAGCGAGGAGGCGUGACUCGCAGAAGAAGCACCGGCUAACUCCGUGCCAGCAGCCGCGGUAAUU
rnacentral:rRNA from 1 species